rnacentral:tRNA from 1 species
GCCCGGAUGGCGGAACUGGUAGACGCAAGGGACUUAAAAUCCCUCGGAGGAAACUCUGUGCCGGUUCGAUUCCGGCUCCGGGCACCA